GAAUAUUGGACAAUGGGCGAAAGCCUGACCCAGCCAUGCCGCGUGUGUGAAGACGGUCUUCGGAUUGGAAAGCCCUUUAUGUUGGGAGGAAGGGCGGUAAGCGAAUACCUUGCUGUCUUGCCGUUCCCGACAGAAUAAUCACCAGCUAACUCUGUGCCAGCAGCCUCGGCAAUACAGCGGGUGCAAGCGUUAAGCGGAAUUACGGGGCGUAAAGCGCGCGUGGGAGGUUCGUUAAGUUGGAUGUGAAAGCCCCGGGCUCAAACUGGGAACUGCAUCCAAAACUGGCGAGCUAGAGUAGGGCAGAGGGUGGUGGAAUUUCCUGUGUAGCGGUGAAAUGCGUAGAUAUAGGAAGGAACACCAGUGGCGAAGGCGACCACCUGGGCUCAUACUGACACUGAGGUGCGAAAGCGUGGGGAGCAAACA
rnacentral:rRNA from 1 species